AUACGUAGGUGACAAGCGUUAUCCGGAUUUACUGGGUGUAAAGGGCGUGUAGGCGGUUUAGCAAGUCAGAAGUGAAAUUCCCGGGCUUAACUUGGGCGCUGCUUCUGAAACUGCUUUACUUGAGUGCUGGAGAAGAUAGUGGAAUUCCUAGUGUAGCGGUAAAAUGCGCAGAUAUUAGGAGGAACACCGGUGGCGAAGGCGGCUAUCUGGACAGUAACUGACGCUGAGGCGCGAAAGCACGGGGAGCAAACAGGAUUAGAUACCCUGGUAGUCCGUGCCGUAAACGAUGAAUACUAGGUGUAGGGGGUAUCGACUCCCUCUGUGCCGCAGUUAACACAUUAAGUAUUCCACCUGGGGAGUACGGCCGCAAGGUUGAAACUCAAAUGAAUUGACGGGG
rnacentral:rRNA from 1 species